AGAGUGGUGUGCUUAGGAUUUGAUGGACGAUGGGCUCGAGACAGAAAAGGGCUGUAAGGACGGGGAAGGUCAAUAUUUCAUCUCCACUAUCUGAUGUGAAUUUCUAGAAUGCAGAUAUAUGUUCGGAGGAAAAAUGGCCACUUGUGAAAAACAACUGGUGAGUGAAAAUGAAGGAAUAUGAAAACUUGAAGUUGACAUCUCUAAGAAGUAGUUAAAGCUGGAAAUGACCAUACAUUGGGUUUUGUUACUGGUGGGUCUGCUCAUGUUCAAAUGCAACUUAGCACCAAAGAGUGUGAGAGUCUGGGAUUAACUGGUCUGGCUCUCUGCUUAGACUGCAUUUGCUGAGUAUGUCAAGGACCAAGGUUGUACCUUUAUUAUAUGAAUUUUGUUGAUCCUCAGAUAUUUAUGGUUUUUGUGGAUUUUACUUCUGGGUUUUGAUGGGUUUUUUGAAUUGAUUACUUGCUGGUAAGUACAUGGGUUGUAAAAUGGUAAUAUUUGGGAUUCUUGUUUCUGUACUAUAGCUGAUUGGUUGUCAAAAUUAACGAAUAGUGGGAGAUAGAUGCAAUUCUUAUUGCUUUUAGUUGAUUUAAGGUCUGGGUUUUUUUUUUGUUUGGAUUUAUGAAUUGCUUAUUUAUAUGUGAGAUGUCAAUGGUGAUAAUUUGGAAGGAGAACUUGAAAAAGGCUAUGUUUUUAUACAAAUCAGAUCGAGAGACUAUGCUUAUAACAGUAAAUAAGUGUAUUUUGACUUUUGUUGUUUUCACUAUAAUUUUUUGUGAUUAAGUUUUGUCAAAAUAUGGAUGGGUAAAUAGUAUUUUGGAAGAUUUCUCUUUUUUCUUUUUGUGCCUCAGAUAGCUUAAGGAUAAUCGCAGAAAUCGAAAU